ACGACCUUACUUGAACAGGAUCUGUUCUAUAGGCUCGUAUAUCCUUGAAUUCUAAGGAGACGGGAAUCUAAGUCUGGUGGAUGACUCGUGGCCAUUAGACCAGAGCGUGAUUAACAGUCCCCAUGGCCUUUGGGGUCAUGGUGCCCUGUCUGACCGAUUUCAAAUCUCUUGUCCUUUUACUAUUCCUUAUCUAGAUUGUUUAUUUUGAGCCGGGGGUCUAUCGGAAACAGCCU
rnacentral:snoRNA from 1 species